CCUACGGGAGGCAGCAGUGGGGAAUAUUGGACAAUGGGCGAAAGCCUGAUCCAGCCAUGCCGCGUGUGUGAAGAAGGCCUUCGGGUUGUAAAGCACUUUCAGUGGGGAAGAAAGCCUUGGGGCUAAUACCCUCGAGGAAGGACAUCACCCACAGAAGAAGCACCGGCUAACUCCGUGCCAGCAGCCGCGGUAAUACGGAGGGUGCGAGCGUUAAUCGGAAUUACUGGGCGUAAAGCGCGCGUAGGCGGUCUGAUAAGCCGGUUGUGAAAGCCCCGGGCUCAACCUGGGAACGGCAUCCGGAACGGUCGGGCUAGAGUGCAGGAGAGGAAGGUAGAAUUCCCGGUGUAGCGGUGAAAUGCGUAGAGAUCGGGAGGAAUACCAGUGGCGAAGGCGGCCUUCUGGACUGACACUGACGCUGAGGGGCGAAAGCGUGGGUAGCAAACAGGAUUAGAUACCCGGUAGUC
rnacentral:rRNA from 1 species